GCGAGGAUGGCGGAAUUGGUAGACGCGCUAGUUUGAGGGGCUAGUGGCAGAAAUGCCGUGGGGGUUCAAUUCCCCCUCCUCGCA
rnacentral:tRNA from 1 species